rnacentral:tRNA from 1 species
GGGCCUGUAGCUCAGUUGGUUAGAGCGCACGCCUGAUAAGCGUGAGGUGGUUGGUUCGAUUCCAACCAGGCCCA